AUUGAACGCUGGCGGCAUGCUUUACACAUGCAAGUCGAACGGUAACAGGCCGCAAGGUGCUGACGAGUGGCGAACGGGUGAGUAAUGCAUCGGAACGUGCCCAGUCGUGGGGGAUAACGCAGCGAAAGCUGUGCUAAUACCGCAUACGAUCUAUGGAGGAAAGCGGGGGACCGUAAGGCCUCGCGCGAUUGGAGCGGCCGAUGUCAGAUUAGGUAGUUGGUGGGGUAAAGGCCUACCAAGCCGACGAUCUGUAGCUGGUCUGAGAGGACGACCAGCCACACUGGGACUGAGACACGGCCCAGACUCCUACGGGAGGCAGCAGUGGGGAAUUUUGGACAAUGGGCGCAAGCCUGAUCCAGCAAUGCCGCGUGCAGGAAGAAGGCCUUCGGGUUGUAAACUGCUUUUGUACGGAACGAAACGGUCUGGGUUAAUACCCUGGGCUAAUGACGGUACCGUAAGAAUAAGCACCGGCUAACUACGUGCCAGCAGCCGCAGUAAAAC
rnacentral:rRNA from 1 species